rnacentral:tRNA from 1 species
CAAAAUGUAGCUUAAUAUAAAGCACCCCGCUUACACCGAGAACAUGUCUGUUUAACUCAGAUCAUUUUGA